rnacentral:rRNA from 1 species
GACGGGUAUCCGGCCUGAGAGGGUGAACGGACACACUGGAACUGAGACACGGUCCAGACUCCUACGGGAGGCAGCAGUAGGGAAUAUUGCUCAAUGGGGGAAACCCUGAAGCAGCAACGCCGCGUGGAGGAUGAAGGUUUUCGGAUUGUAAACUCCUUUUGUUAGAGAAGAUAAUGACGGUAUCUAACGAAUAAGCACCGGCUAACUCCGUGCCAGCAGCCGCGGUAAUACGGAGGGUGCAAGCGUUACUCGGAAUCACUGGGCGUAAAGAGCGCGUAGGCGGAAUAGCAAGUCAGAUGUGAAAUCCUAUGGCUUAACCAUAGAACUGCAUUUGAAACUGUUAUUCUA